GGCGAUUCUCAGGUGACACACCCUGGAAUCGGGGUCCCUCCUCUCUGGUUCCAGGUGCAUCACCCGAGAACCACA
rfam:Myotis lucifugus cont2.2383, whole genome shotgun sequence.